rnacentral:rRNA from 1 species
AGAGUUUGAUCCUGGCUCAGAACGAACGCUGGCGGCAUGCCUAACACAUGCAAGUCGCACGAGAAAGUUUCCUUCGGGAAACGAGUAAAGUGGCGCACGGGUGAGUAACACGUAGGUGACCUACCUAACGCUGGGGAACAACCCCGGGAAACCGGGGCUAAUUCCGCGUACGCUUUUCAGUCUGCGGAUUGAAAAGGAAAGAUGGCCUCUUCAUGAAAGCUAUCGGCGAUAGAUGGGCCUGCGGGUCAUUAGCUUGUUGGUGAGGUAACGGCUCACCAAGGCUACGAUGAUUAGCUGAUCUGAGAGGAUGAUCAGCCACACUGGAACUGGAACACGGUCCAGACUCCUACGGGAGGCAGCAGUGGGGAAUAUUGGGCAAUGGGCGAAAGCCUGACCCAGCAAUGCCGCGUGUGUGAUGAAGGCCCUUGGGUCGUAAAGCUCUGUCGAGAGGGACGAAAAUCUGGUGGGAACAAUACCCCACCAGUUUGACGGUACCUCCAAAGGAAGCACCGGCUAACUCCGUGCCAGCAGCCGCGGUAAUACGGAGGGUGCAAGCGUUGUUCGGAAUUACUGGGCGUAAAGGGCGUGGAGGCGGUUCGUUAAGUCAUGCGUGAAAGCCCUCGGCUUAACCCAGGAAGUGCGCCCGAAACCAUUGGUCUAGAGAUUCGGAGGGGAGCGGGGAAUUCCCAGUGUAGAGGUGAAAUUCGUAGAUAUUGGGAGGAACACCGGUGCCGAAGGGGCCGCUCUGGACGAAUACUGACGCUGAGACGCGAAAGCGUGGGUAGCAAACAGGAUUAGAUACCCUGGUAGUCCACGCUGUAAACGAUGAGCACUCGGUGCUGCGGGUAUUGACCCCUGCGGUGCCGACGCUAACGCAUUAAGUAUUCCGCCUGGGGAGUACGAUCGCAAGGUUGAAACUCAAAGGAAUUGACGGGGGCCCGCACAAGCGGUGGAGCAUGUGGUUUAAUUCGAUGCAACGCGAAAAACCUUACCUGGGCUUGAACUGCGGGGAAUCUCCCAGAGAUAGGAAUGUGCCCUUCGGGGAACCGCCACAGAGGUUCUGCAUGGCUGUCGUCAGCUCGUGUCGUGAGAUGUUAGGUUAAGUCCUGCAACGAGCGCAACCCCUGCCCUUAGUUGCUACCAGUUCGGCUGAGCACUCUAGGGGGACUGCCGGCGUUAAACUGGAGGAAGGUGGGGAUGACGUCAAGUCCUCAUGGCCUUUAUGCCCAGGGCUACACACGUACUACAAUGGCCGGUACAAAGGGUCGCAAUGCCGCGAGGUGGAGCUAAUCCCAAAAAGCCGGUCUCAGUUCGGAUUGGUCUCUGCAACUCGAGACCAUGAAGUUGGAAUCGCUAGUAAUCGCUGAUCAGCACGCAGCGGUGAAUACGUUCCCGGGCCUUGUACACACCGCCCGUCACACCACGAAAGCUGUUUAUACCAGAAGUGCGUGACCCAACCUUCGGGAGGGAGCGCCCCAAGGUAUGAGCGGUGAUUGGGGUGAAGUCGUAACAAGGUAACCG